GACGAGCCACACGAACGUUUAUUCGGAAUUACUGGGCUUAAAGGGUGCGUAGGCGGCGCGGAAAGUUGGGUGUGAAAUCCCUCGGCUCAACCGAGGAACUGCGCCCAAAACUACCGUGCUCGAGGAAGAUAGAGGUGAGCGGAACUUACGGUGGAGCGGUGAAAUGCGUUGAUAUCGUAAGGAACACCCGUGGCGAAAGCGGCUCACUGGGUCUUCUCUGACGCUGAUGCACGAAAGCUAGGGGAGCAAACGGG
rnacentral:rRNA from 1 species